GGCAGGGGGCCGAGUGGGGGGCAGCCAGGGUGCCAUCUGUCCUGGCGCCCGCGGCACCGCCUCCCAGGGACCGGGCAGAUGGCAGAAGGUGUCCGAAGUGUGUGUGAGCUCCCCGCGUGCCGUGAGGAGCAGCAAGGGCGGCUUCUCAAACCCCAGGGCGGCUCACAAACCCCCCCGUGGAAUCAAGUUCGAGCACAGAAUGUGGGCUCGGGCCGGGGUGUCUGAGGCUCAGCAUAUCCAUCCCACGUGCAGCGGAAGACGCUGGGAGGGCCGCGCUGGGCGGAGCAGGUCGAGGCUCUCUGUGAGCAGGCGUCGUCCAGAACGCGAGCCUCAAGCCUCAUGGGGAUUAGAGGGGACGUUGGCGGAGGAACCAGGAGGAGCAGCAGGCUGGCCUCAUUGCCCGCCUGGAGCACGGACCGCCUCUUCGCAGUGGUGGGAACAGGCCCACAAGACCGUGUGCUUUCUUCUCCUGCACCGCUGACUGCCACAUGGCAGCUCAGGGCAGGACCGAGGUCCGGGCCGCUCUGGAGCCCUUGCCCUUUGAAUCUGUGUCUUCCUAGCCUGUCGUGCCGGGCCUGGCGCCAGCCUUCCCUCCGGCCUCCCGCCUGGACGGUGCUCCCUUGCUCCAGAGAGAGCCUGGCUGGGGGCUGCGGCUGCGGCUCGUGUCCUGUCUCCUGAGUCUGAGCUGGUCUCCUCGCUUUCACACACUCCCAGCCUUCAGCUGAUUAGAUGAAGCCCACCCACAGUACGGAAGGUCAUCGAUUUCACCGAAAGUCUCCUGAUUGUGGCUGAAAGUCGCAACUGAAAGAUACCUCUGCAGCCUCCACCAGCUGAGUGCUCUGUGCCUACUGAAUUGUUUAAGGUCUCAGUAGACCUUAGAAGUACGCAAGGAAUUCGGUCAUUGACACAGAGAACCUGAUACAAACUGUUGUGUAGUAUUUUAGGGCAUCAGAGUCCUUCCAAGCAGUAGGAUUUUAUCUGGAGUAAGAAUUCACUAAGGUCCCUCCUGCUUCUAAUUCUUAUGGUGUUAUUUUAUUAGGCUUUUUAGGCCAAAAUGGCUUUUUUAAAAUAAGAAAAGUAAAGCCUAGAAACUGAUUAGAUUAUGAGCACGCUUGAGAAUUUCUGGCUGGAGCCGCCACACACGCGUGUGCUUGGACUUCAGGCGCCGGGUCACCUGACGGAGGCGCGUCCCCUCUGCGGUGGCGCGUGGAGGAAGCUGCCCAGAGAGAUGCUCUCUGUGGUGCAGUUCUUCACGGAGUUGGUGCUUCCAUGAAGAUAAGCUAAUUACCGGGGAAAUGUGUGGGCAGUUUCAUGAUUUUCUCUUUUCCAUUUCCAGGCUCUCAAAAAUGUUGGGAAAAAAAUCACCACUAUUGAUACAUUUCA